UACGUAGGGCGCAAGCGUUAUCCGGAAUUAUUGGGCGUAAAGAGCUCGUAGGCGGUUUGUCGCGUCUGCCGUGAAAGUCCGGGGCUCAACUCCGGAUCUGCGGUGGGUACGGGCAGACUAGAGUGAUGUAGGGGAGACUGGAAUUCCUGGUGUAGCGGUGAAAUGCGCAGAUAUCAGGAGGAACACCGAUGGCGAAGGCGAGUCCCUGGACAACACCUGACACUGAGGCACGAAAGCGUGGGUAGCAAACAGG
rnacentral:rRNA from 1 species